UACGUAGGGGGCAAGCGUUGUCCGGAAUCAUUGGGCGUAAAGCGCGUGUAGGCGGCUCGGUAAGUCUGCUGUGAAAGUCCAGGGCUCAACCCUGGAAAGCCGGUGGAAACUGUCGAGCUCGAGUCCGGAAGAGGCGAGUGGAAUUCCUGGUGUAGCGGUGAAAUGCGCAGAUAUCAGGAGGAACACCAAUGGCGAAGGCAGCUCGCUGGGACGGUACUGACGCUGAGACGCGAAAGCGUGGGGAGCAAACAGG
rnacentral:rRNA from 1 species